GACGAACCGUGCGAACGUUGUUCGGAUUCACUGGGCUUAAAGGGCGCGUAGGCGGGUUCCCAAGUCAGGGGUGAAAUCUUUCGGCUCAACCGGAAAACGGCCCCUGAUACUGGUAGUCUUGAGGGAGGUAGGGGCAGGUGGAACUUCCGGUGGAGCGGUGAAAUGUGUUGAUAUCGGAAGGAACGCCGGUGGCGAAAGCGACCUGCUGGAUCUCUUCUGACGCUGAGGCGCGAAAGCUAGGGGAGCGAACGGG
rnacentral:rRNA from 1 species